rnacentral:rRNA from 1 species
UACGUAGGGUGCGAGCGUUGUCCGGAAUUAUUGGGCGUAAAGGGCUCGUAGGCGGUCUGUCACGUCGGGUGUGAAAACACGGGGCUUAACCCCGUGCCUGCUUCCGAUACGGGCAGACUAGAGGUAUGCAGGGGAGAACGGAAUUCCUGGUGUAGCGGUGAAAUGCGCAGAUAUCAGGAGGAACACCGGUGGCGAAGGCGGUUCUCUGGGCAUUACCUGACGCUGAGGAGCGAAAGCGUGGGGAGCGAACAGG